AUGUACCCGCAUACACUCCGGUUCCUCCGCGCCGUCCGCACCCACCUGACGGCUGCUCGAUACGUUUUGUUGGCC
rfam:Xanthomonas campestris pv. campestris str. ATCC 33913, complete genome.